GAUGAAGAACGCAGCGAAAUGCGAUAAGUAAUGUGAAUUGCAGAAUUCAGUGAAUCAUCGAAUCUUUGAACGCACAUUGCGCCCGCCAGUAUUCUGGCGGGCAUGCCUGUUCGAGCGUCAUUACAACCCUCAGGCCCCCGGGCCUGGCGUUGGGGAUCGGCAGAAGCCCCCUGUGGGCACACGCCGUCCCUCAAAUACAGUGGCGGUCCCGCCGCAGCUUCCAUUGCGUAGUAGCUAACACCUCGCAACUGGAGAGCGGCGCGGCCAUGCCGUAAAACACCCAACUUCUGAAUGUUGACCUCGAAUAAGGUAGGAAUACCCGCUGAACUUAAGCAUAUCAAUAAGCGGAGGA
rnacentral:misc_RNA from 1 species